AUUUAUCUUCGGGAUAGGUAGUAGUUAAGGUGAUGGCUUAACUAGCUUAAAAUUCUCGUAGUCGAAGCUGAAAGGUUGAUCGACCACAUUGGGUCUGAAAAAACCCCAAUGCAAGUUAGUACAGCAGUGAGGAAUCUUGGUCAAUGGCCUAACGGCUGAACUGGCAACUUGGAGAAGUGGCAAGUCUUAUUUUUGAUUAUAAUUUUAGAUAAUCUAUAAGAUUGUAUUAAAAUUGAAUAAAACUUUGUUUAUAUAUUGAUAAUGACAAUAUAUAUAUCGUGUCUUGACUAAUUACGUGCCAGCAGUCGCGGUAAUACGUAAGAGACUAGUGUUAUUCAUCUUAAUUAGGUUUAAAGGGUCCCUAGACGGUCAAUAUAGCUUCUAGAAUGUUAGUACUUGACUAGAGUUUGAUGUAAGGGGGCAGUACUUGAGGAGGAGAGAUGAAAUUCUAUUAUACCAAAGGGACUCGGUAAAGGCGAAGGCAGCCCUUUAUGUAAAAACUGACGUUGAAGGACGAAGGCACAGAGCACAAACAGGAUUAGAUACCCAAGUAGUCUUUGCAGUAAAUGAUGAAUGCCAUAGGUUAGAUUAAAU
rnacentral:rRNA from 2 species